GGAGUUAGUUUGGGGUCCGAUGCUCCUCCCCUGAAGUCAACAAUACAAUGCUUUCAAUCAAACAUGUUGUGGGGAAUAGACUCAGAAGCAGGUUCAUGUGUGUAUGAACACGUCUUUAUUCAUAUUAUAACCAAGAGAUUGUAGCUUUCUGAUCUGUUCUUAAACCUGGGGCCACCGUUAAACAAUCUGCUGACCGAACCAUUGAGAUUCAAUGGGGAAAUGUCCCAAAAUGAUGAUGUUGGCCUCUCAUUGACUGUAUAUACAUGGUAUGUACUAACUGCUUGGUUAUAUGUACAUAUCAAUGUGCCCUUCCACACUCUGUAUGGAGGACUGUUGGAGUGACGUGUUCUGUUGAAGAAUGUUGUAAUGUUCUGAUGAAGAAUAAUGUUAUGUUCUGUUGAAGAAUGUUGUAAUGUUCUGAUGAAGAAUGUUGUAAUGUUCUAUUGAAGAAUGUUGGGAUGUUCUAUUGAAGAAUGUUGUGAUGUUCUGAUGAAGAAUGUUGUGAUGUUCUGUUGAAGAAUGUUGUGAUGUUCUGUUGAAGAAUGUUGUGAUGUUCUGAUGAAGAAUGUUGUGGUGUUCUAUUGAAGAAUGUUGUGACGUUCUAUUGUUCUGAAAGAAUGUCAUCAUGAACCCUGUUUAUAGCUGAUGCUAACCUGUGUCCUGGUCUCGUCCACAUUUCUAGACCAUUAGAAGAUAAGUGAUCAGCACUUUCUGACCGCCUGCGCAGGUUGUUCUGAGGGCAGCUCCGCCUCCAGGGAACUGGCAGAACAAAGGCAUUGGUUGGAUGAAAACUCAGUGACAUGUCAGUGGGCGGGGUUUACAGGUGAGAGUCAAAUAAGAAAAGGCCUUGGGUGGUAGGUUUCCACAGGUUCUCAUUUACAACUGUGACCUGACCAAGAUAAAGCAAAGCAGUGCAACACAAACAACAACACAGAGUUACACAUGGAGUAAACAAACAUGCAGUCAAUAACACAAUAGAAAAAUCUAUAUACAGUGUGUGGAAAUGAGGUAGGGCAAUAAAUUCAGUUCGUUCCAGUCAUUGGCAGCAGAGAACUGGAAGGAAAGGCGGCCAAAGGAGGAAUUGGCUUUGGGGGUGACCAGUGAGAUAUACCUGCUGGGACGCGUGCUAUGGGUGGGUGUUGCUAUGGCGACCAGCGAGCUGAGAUAAGGCGGGGCUUUACCUAGCAAAGACUUAUAGAUGACCUGGAGCAAGUGGGUUUGGCGUUGAAUAUGAAGCGAGGGCAAGCCAACGAGAGAAUACAGGUCGCAGUGCUGGGUGGUAUAUGGGGCUUUGGUGACGAAACUGUCAUAGACUGCAGCCAAUUUAGAGUGUUGGAGGCUAUUUUGUAAAUGACAUCGCCAAAGUCAAGGAUCGGUAGGAUAGUCAGUUUUACGAGGGUAUGUUUGGCAGCAUGAGUGAAGGAGGCUUUGUUGCGAAAUAGGAAUCCGAUUCUAGAUUUAAUUUUGGAUUGGAGAUGCUUAAUGUGAGUCUGGAAGGAGAGUUUACAGGCUAACCAGACACCCAGGUAUUUGUAGUUGUCCACGUAUUCUAAGUCAGAACCGUCCAGGGUAGUGAUGCUGGACCGGCGGGCAGGUAUGGGCAAUGCUGUCUGAUGGCCCAGUGGAAUAGGGACUAGAAGGUCCCAGGUUCUAAUCUUAC
ensembl:lncRNA